UGGCUCCGCGUGCUAUUGUCGUGAAUAUCUUCAAGAGAUUCCAAGCUUUUACCACGUGGUUGACGUACCUAAGAGAACGAAGAAGAAGUUUUCAAACAAUUGGACCAAGGGGAGUAAAAAAAUGAAAGGUGUUAACAAAGUGAAAAUUAAAAAAGAAAGAAAAAAACUGGCGGCAAUAAUUUACCAGCCCAAGGCCACAACGAUCUGGAGAUUUGGAAAUUACCUUGAUUAAAACAACAUCAUUGUCAUUGCAACAAUCAUGACUAAUACCAUUACAAUGGUAGGUAUCAGAAGUUGCAUUUGCUAUGGCAUAUAUUUUGGAAUCGUCCCACGAAACACGCGCUGUGGGCAAAUAAGUGGGAGUUGGGGGUAAUUGGUGCCAAGGUUUGGCAUACAUCUAAAUAAAAAUCAACGAAAUAAAAUAUUAAACAAUAAUUUAAGUGAAAACAAAAAAAAAAAAAAACAACAACAUAAAAUCAAACAUUCGCUGUAUUGACAUGGCAGUCUGGUUGGAAGAGUAGCAAUUAUACAACUACCUGUUGGUUAUAUGGAUUUGAACCUCCUGGAUUCCAUUUUCCACUUAUUAUGUCUUUGACACGUUUAAUGGCAAGUAAAAUUUUCUUUUGAUGUCCCAACUUGACAAUGCCAAUAUCUUCCAGAUCUUCCCAAGUAACUUGUGUGACGUC